UAGACCCACGCAGAACAGUCCAGGGCUCUAAGAUGGGAACACAUGGGUCCAAGUACACGUAGAGAUGGUUUCCUGCUGACAAGGCAUGGCGGAGCCUGGAGUCUGAAGGCUGGAGAAGAGAAUUGGCCUCAGUGUGUGGCGAUGGAAGGAAGGGAGUGGGCCUUUAAGAGGUCACUUGCUGCCUGCCUUCAAAAGGAUUGUGAGGCUCCAGCCCCUCUGGAGCCACUUCCUGAUUUUCAGGAUGUGAUUUCUUCUUUCCUUCUCCCAUAAAGUCCUCGCCAGAGCUAAGUUAUUGAUGGCACAAUAUCUCUGACUCUCUAGAGCUGUGACCUAAAUAAACUUCUUUUCUUUAUAAAGUAAA
ensembl:lincRNA Gm27168 predicted gene 27168